rnacentral:rRNA from 1 species
GACGAACGCUGGCGGCGUGCUUAACACAUGCAAGUCGAGCGGUGAACCACUUCGGUGGGGAUCAGCGGCGAACGGGUGAGUAACACGUGGGCAACCUGCCCCUAGCACUGGGAUAACCCCGGGAAACCGGGGCUAAUACCGGAUAUGACUUCGAAUGGCAUCACUCGAAGUGGAAAGAUCUAUCGGCUAGGGAUGGGCCCGCGGCCUAUCAGCUUGUUGGUGGGGUAAUGGCCUACCAAGGCGACGACGGGUAGCCGGCCUGAGAGGGCGACCGGCCACACUGGGACUGAGACACGGCCCAGACUCCUACGGGAGGCAGCAGUGGGGAAUAUUGCGCAAUGGGCGAAAGCCUGACGCAGCGACGCCGCGUGAGGGACGAAGGCCUUCGGUCGUAACC